GAUGAACGCUGGCGGCGUGCCUAAUACAUGCAAGUCGAGCGAACGGACGAGAAGCUUGCUUCUCUGAUGUUAUCGGCGGACGGGUGAGUAACACGUGGAUAACCUACCUAUAAGACUGGGAUAACUUCGGGAAACCGGAGCUAAUACCGGAUAAUAUUUUGAACCGCAUGGUUCAAAAGUGAAAGACGGUCUUGCUGUCACUUAUAGACGGAUCCGCGCUGCAUUAGCUAGUUGGUAAGGUAACGGCUUACCAAGGCAACGAUGCAUAGCCGACCUGAGAGGGUGAUCGGCCACACUGGAACUGAGACACGGUCCAGACUCCUACGGGAGGCAGCAGUAGGGAAUCUUCCGCAAUGGGCGAAAGCCUGACGGAGCAACGCCGCGUGAGUGAUGAAGGUCUUCGGAUCGUAAAACUCUGUUAUUAGGGAAGAACAUAUGUGUAAGUAACUGUGCACAUCUUGACGGUACCUAAUCAGAAAGCCACGGCUAACUACGUG
rnacentral:rRNA from 1 species